UACGUAGGUGGCAAGCGUUGUCCGGAUUUAUUGGGUUUAAAGGGUGCGUAGGCGGCUUUGUACGUCGGUGGUGAAAUAUGGCAGCUCAACUGUCAGGGUGCCAUUGAUACUGCGGAGCUUGAGUACAGAUGAGGUAGGCGGAAUUGACGGUGUAGCGGUGAAAUGCUUAGAUAUCGUCAAGAACACCGAUAGCGAAGGCAGCUUACUGGGCUGUAACUGACGCUGAGGCACGAAAGUGUGGGGAGCAAACAGG
rnacentral:rRNA from 1 species